CUGCAGAAGAAGCACCGGCUAACUCCGUGCCAGCAGCCGCGGUAAUACGGAGGGUGCGAGCGUUAAUCGGAAUUACUGGGCGUAAAGCGCAUGCAGGUGGUUUGUUAAGUCAGAUGUGAACGCCCGGGGCUCAACCUCGGAAUUGCAUUUGAAACUGACAGGCUAGAGUACUGUAGAGGGGGGUAGAAUUUCAGGUGUAGCGGUGAAAUGCGUAGAGAUCUGAAGGAAUACCGGUGGCGAAGGCGGCCCCCUGGACAGAUACUGACACUCAGAUGCGAAAGCGUGGGGAGCAAACAGGAUUAGAUACCCUGGUAGUCCACGCCGUAAACGAUGUCUACUUGGAGGUUGUGGCCUUGAGCCGUGGCUUUCGGAGCUAACGCGUUAAGUAGACCGCCUGGGGAGUACGGUCGCAAGAUUAAAACUCAAAUGAAUUGACGGGGGCCCGCACAAGCGGUGGAGCAUGUGGUUUAAUUCGAUGCAACGCGAAGAACCUUACCUACUCUU
rnacentral:rRNA from 1 species